rnacentral:rRNA from 1 species
UACGUAGGGGGCAAGCGUUGUCCGGAUUUAUUGGGCGUAAAGAGCGUGUAGGCGGCCAGGUAGGUCCGUUGUGAAAACUCGAGGCUCAACCUCGAGACGUCGGCGGAAACCCUCUGGCUAGAGUCCGGAAGAGGAGAGUGGAAUUCCUGGUGUAGCGGUGAAAUGCGCAGAUAUCAGGAAGAACACCGGUGGCGAAGGCGGCCUGCUGGGCUAUGGCUGACACUGAGGCGCGACAGCGUGGGGAGCAAACAGG